AUGGCGGAGUCGCCCGAGAACGCCGCCGCGGCGCCCGCGCCACCCGCCGCUCCCGCCCCGGCCCCGGCGCCGGCAACCAAGCCGUCCCCGCCCACCAGGUCCGGGAUCCCGCCGCGGUACGACCUCGACGCCAAGUGGGACGCCUGCCUCGACCUCUCCAUCCGCCGCGUCGCCUACUCCUCCCUCGCCGGCGCCUUCGGCGGCCUCAUCCUCUUCCGUAGCCCAACAACCCGCUGGGCAUCAGUUGCCCUUGGAGCUGGCGUGGGGAUAGGGGCUGCGUUCACUGAAUGCUCAUACAUAUUCAAUGGUUCUCCUCCAAAGUGGUCGGCCAAAGCUUCGACUGUUCCUGCUCAUUCUGAAGGGGGAGACAAUUAA
rnacentral:rRNA from 1 species